GCCUCGUUAGCGCAGUAGGCAGCGCGUCAGUCUCAUAAUCUGAUUUAGAAAUCUACAGGUCUUGAGUUCUAUCCUCACACGGGGCA
rnacentral:tRNA from 1 species